rnacentral:rRNA from 1 species
AUUGAACGCUGGCGGAAUGCUUUACACAUGCAAGUCGAGCGGCAGCGCGGGAGGGGUAACCUGACUGGCGGCGAGCGGCGAACGGGUGAGUAAUGCAUCGGAACGUACCCAGUCGUGGGGGGAUAACGUGGCGAAAGUCACGCUAAUACCGCAUACGUCCUGAGGGAGAAAGCAGGGGAUCGCAAGACCUUGCGCGAUUGGAGCGGCCGAUGUCUGAUUAGCUAGUUGGUGGGGUAAAGGCCUACCAAGGCGACGAUCAGUAGCUGGUCUGAGAGGACGAUCAGCCACACUGGGACUGAGACACGGCCCAGACUCCUACGGGAGGCAGCAGUGGGGAAUUUUGGACAAUGGGCGAAAGCCUGAUCCAGCCAUUCCGCGUGAGUGAAGAAGGCCUCGGUUGUAAG